GCGGAUAAAGCCAAACCCGCCGCGAGGCGGGGACGGAAAGCCACGGGUCUCACCGAGACCGCCGGGUUGCCUAAG
rnacentral:ncRNA from 1 species